UACGUAGGGGGCAAGCGUUUGUCCGGAUUUACUGGGCGUAAAGAGCGUGUAGGCGGCCAAGCAGGUCCGUUGUGAAAACUGGAGGCUUAACCUCCAGACGUCGACGGAAACCGCGUGGUUAGAGUCCGGAAGAGGAGAGUGGAAUUCCUGGUGUAGCGGUGGAAUGCGCAGAUAUCAGGAAGAACACCGACGGCGAAGGCAG
rnacentral:rRNA from 1 species